UUCAUCAGUCCAUACAGAGUGAAGAAAGUUUUAACCACUGCAUUGGGUCUUAUAAUCUUGCUUAAUUAUCUGUCUGGGACACUAUCCUUGAAUUUCUUAAGGACAAACAACACAGUACAGAGAGGGUACUCGACAAAGUGGUAAUAAAUGACUACUGCAGAAAUAAAUGCUAGUGCUUUGUAUGUAGUGUCCGGGUGCUAAAUGUUUGAGAAAGAAAGGGUGCGGCAUAAAGAGGGCGUGUCAUAACCGAGGGGCCACCGAGGGCGGGGAUCAGGGCAGAGUCACCCACAGGGGCGGUGUGUGUGAAAUAAGCGGAAGCAAGGCCUCCCACAUGUAACUGUGGGUUGGAACCAGAGCGGUAACUGGUUCUCAGUUUACCUUGGCCCACAACUGCGUUUGUGAACCUACUCAGCUGCUGGGAGAUGCAGUCGGAGACGGCUUCCAAAAUGGGGCUGGUUGUUAUGUUCCAGAAGUCUGCAGUUUCACAGCUUCCUUAGCUUGCCAGGGCAGAUGCUGUAAUUUGGUGUUCUUCGUACACAAAGGUAGAACUCUUUCAGCCUUUCAUCAACAAAUGGGAGGCAUGAGAUCUCUGCAGUGGUGCAGUUCAAUGUCAUUUACUGAAACUGGGUGUCUGAAAGGCAAGGAAACAAAGACAAACGUGAAAGGAGCUUUGUGACGCAAAAAUAUGUGUUGGAAAAAAACAAUAAAUGAAGGAACAUGCGAACUCUUAAAACAUAUUAUUCCUGUACCACUGAUUUAUUGCAGGAAUCUUCUAUUUAGUGAAUACUUUAUGGGUAUCUUAUUAUAUGGCAGUUGAUGGGGCAAUGAGAGAAC
rnacentral:lncRNA from 1 species